UACGGGGUGCAGCAGGCGCGAAAACUUUACAAUGCGGGAAACCGUGAUAAGGGAACUCCGAGUGUCCGUAAAUGCGGACUGUCCGUCUGUUUAAAAAGCAGGCGAAGAAAGGGCCGGGCAAGACCGGUGCCAGCCGCCGCGGUAAUACCGGCGGCUCGAGUGGUGGCCACUAUUACUGGGCUUAAAGCGUUCGUAGCUGGGUCGUUAAGUCUCUUGGGAAAUCUACCGGCUUAACCGAUAGGCGUCCAAGGGAUACUGGCGAUCUAGGGACCGGGAGAGGUGAGGGGUACUUCAGGGGUAGGAGUGAAAUCCUGUAAUCCUUGGGGGACCACCUGUGGCGAAGGCGCCUCACCAGAACGGCUCCGACAGUGAGGGACGAAAGCUGGGGGAGCAAACCGGAUUAGAUACCCGGGUAGUCCCAGCCGUAAACGAUGCGCGUUAGGUGUAUCGAUGACCACGAGUCAUCGAGGUGCCGAAGGGAAACCGUGAAACGCGCCGCCUGGGAAGUACGGUCGCAAGGCUGAAACUUAAAGGAAUUGGCGGGGGAGCACCACAACAGGUGGAGCCUGCGGUUUAAUCGGACUCAACGCCGGAAAUCUCACCGGAUAAGACAGCUGAAUGAUAGUCGGGCUGAAGACUCUACUUGACUAGCUGAGAGGAGGUGCAUGG
rnacentral:rRNA from 1 species